AGUGAACGCUGGCGGUAGGCCUAACACAUGCAAGUCGAACGAGUGGCGGACGGGUGAGGAAUACAUCGGAAUCUACUCUGUCGUGGGGGCUAACGUAGGGAAACUUACGCUAAUACCGCAUACGAUUGAAUGAGCCGAUGUCGGAGUAGCUAGUGGGCGGGGUAACGGCCUACCAAGGCGACUAUCCUUAACUGGUCUGAGAUGGUUAUCAGUCACACUGGAACUGAGACCAGGUCCAGACUCCUACGGUAGGCAGCAGUGGGGAAUAUUGGACAAUGGGCGAAAGCCUGAUCCAGCCAUGGCGCGUGUGUGAAGAAGUUCUUCGGAUUGUAAAGCCCUUUAAGUUGGGAGGCGUUACCAACAGAAUAAGCACCGGCUAACUUCGUGCCAGCAGCCGCGGUAAUAC
rnacentral:rRNA from 1 species